rnacentral:lncRNA from 15 species
GUUGACCCAGUUUAUUGGCAGUGUCUGGCUACAGCUGCAUAACAUAUUUUCCUUUUGUGUCUCCCAGAACCAGUUUUGACCUUCGCCUUGACUGAUUUGAGCCAAAGACCAAAAGCCACACAGGUGGCAUUUCCUUUCACAAAAAAGCUGACUGACAAAUGACGCAAUCAAUGGUAAGGGCAACACACACCUGGUUUAAUUCAUUCUAAGUGUAUAUCUGUGAGUGACUGACAGCGUAACAGUCCACACUAUAUGACAAUAGGAGUUAUAGUGUGAUACAGCCGCUCGUACAGAAAGGUUUGGCAUAUGUUUGUUUUUUACAUGUAUUCUCAACUUAUGAGAUUCCCC